GCGACGCGCCCUUCCUUGACGAUGAGGUCCUCGGCGGCGACGGCGUUGAAGAGCUUGACGUUGGGGCGGGCGAUGAGGCGGCUCAAGAUGGUGGAGGUGAAGAGUGCAGCGUGGCGGACCACGACGUAGCUGUCGGCCUCGUCGUACGGGACGCCGAGCUCGUCGAGGAAGAGGUGGGCGGGCUUGCGGACGACCAUGGCGGAGAAGAGCUGGCCGCCGAGCCACGCGCCGCCUCCUGGGGAGACGGACUGCUCCACGAUGGCCACGCGCACGGACGGGUCCUUGGAGAUCUCGUAUGCGCAGGACAGCCCCGCAGAGCCGGCGCCGAUGACCACCACGUCCGUAUCCGCAUAGCUGAUCAUGUCGGUCAUGUAGCGGCGGGUCAUCUCCCGGGAGACGAUGGACUCCUGGAUGGGCUUGAAGGAGAAGGAGCCAAGGUCAUACUUGGGGGCGGCCAAGGCGGAGGUGACAGACAGGGCGGCCUUGCCGCUGCCCGAGUGGGAUGGGAGGGGGGUAGCCGCCAGGCGGAGGCCACUGAAUGAGGAGCGGAGGUGGUGGUUGCCGGCGAAGAGGGACUUGGGGUUGGAGAGGAGGAAGGAGGUCGCCAUGGAUGCGGCCAUCGGAGGGAGCUCGGGAAGGGUAUGAGUUGGGGGUCUUGGAGAGGUUUAAGGAGGAUAAGAACGCGGUGGGAAGACGAGAG
rnacentral:lncRNA from 1 species